CGAGGGGAGUGAAAAAGAACCUGAAACCGUGUACGUACAAGCAGUGGGAGCACAGGUUUACCUGUGUGACUGCGUACCUUUUGUAUAAUGGGUCAGCGACUUAUAUUCUGUAGCAAGGUUAACCGAACCACGCCGACAUCCACGCUGCGACUUUUGAUCGUCGUUUUUCCGCCUUCAAUACCUUCCGCAUUGGUGGUAAUUAAGGUAACUUCUGGUCCCUGGUGGCUGUAGUGAUAAAACAGAAUCCAGGCU
rnacentral:rRNA from 1 species